CAGGAAGGCCUUCACCCAGGAGUGCGAUGCCUGCAGCUACAGUCUUUAUCUAGUUAAUAGAGGUUGGAGUCAGGUGUCCUUAGCCCUGGCUCUGCCUUGUCCUUUGAGGCACCAGGACUUCACCCACCAUUACAGGCCGCCAUCUCCAGUCAAGGGGCCGACGUCUUGCGCAGACUUACAAGUAAACCCAAAAAGCCAAUUGGUUAAUUUGAGCUUGCUCAGAGCUGCUUCGUAGUGGUCUCCAUCACAAGGGCAUCGCUUACCCUGCAUGGGUGCCAGCAUAGCCCCCAGCAGCUGCUCCAUCUGCCCUCUAGGGACUGGGAGGUAGCUUAGACACAGCAGAAUCCCAAGAAGCCGUUGCUUUGUUGAAAAAAAGUAAGGGAAUCGUGUAGGCCCUCAUCGCAGGCAGAAUAAAACUCCUAAGGUUGACAUUCAAGGCUCCGACUUUCCAAAUCAGGUUUCCCUUACCUUUGUCCUGUUUCUCCUCCCUGCUGAGGCCCUAUCUUGGGGUCUGACUGUCACAGCACAGCACUGGGUGGUAGCUGACCUUCUACAGUCCGUUUGAGGAAGCAGUUGCACAGCACCAACUAACUGCCAGGCAGGGACCCCACUUUGUCCGCAUCCCCCUUACAGGGGCCCCCUUUAUGAUGUAGUCCCUGUUCUCAGGUGAGGUGACAGAGGCUCAGACUGAAAUCCACUGAGGUGUCCAGACCUGUCAAAACUGGCCCUGUGUCUGAUCACCCUGUGGGGCUUUUCCAUGAACGAAGGGUGGGGGGUGGGGCCCUCGCCUAGAUGAUUUGAUUGGUAACCUGGGGUGGGAAUGGAGAAUUUGCAUGUAUAAUAAGCUCCCAGUCGACAGCAUGCUCUUGGUCUGGGCCCAUCCUUUGAGAAUCUCUACCUUGCACAAUAGGCCCUCUUUUGAGUACUGCACAUUAGGGGCACUUAGUCAGACUCUAAAUUCACCGCAAAUAGACUGAAUUCACCCUGGACUACCUUCCAUCACAUGGAUCUCUGGUGAAUUUCCUUUCUACUCAGCAACAUUAGAGGUUUACUUUCCUGACUGUCCACCUGGUGUCCCAUGCCUCAGAGGGAAACCCUCAGACGUCACUGAAGGCACCUCCUAUACACCAGGUGACCCACACUUCCACAAGUGUGUGCCCAUCGGAGAUGCUGGCAGAAACCUGGCAGUGGCUUCUGGAGAAGGGAGGGGAGGGCAACUGCCAGAGAGCUGAAAAGCACUGAACCUCUUUAGCUGAUGUGUGAGAGAAUAGAAUUUUCCAGGAGUGGCCACAUGACAAGAGACAAGUGGAAAACAGAAGUUGGAAAGAUCAGAAGAACUCAGGAAUGAGACAGCACAAAGGACUGAGUGGGGCCUGCAGAUGGGGAACAAAUAAUUCUCUUGCAACCCAAGUCUUGGCCCACGUGGUGGGGAUGCAAGUUCAAGCUCAUACUCCCUGACAGGGGUGGCCAAGAGCAGCUCUGGUGAGUGGAUGUGUCAGCCCUGAGUCGCAUGCUGUGCAUGAGUGUCCUCUACCUUGGCUGCACAUGAAAACCACCUGGAAGCCUUUCAAGCCCCACUUUCCAACCUCAUGCCCAACCCACAGCCCAGACUAAACAGAACCGAAAAGGAAGACUUUACCAUGUGCAUGUGCAUGAUACCGGGGGAUCCCCAUGUAACAGUCUGUGUGAGGAGCUGGGCUUAGAAAUGAGCGUCCUUCUCACGGCCGGGUCAGGUAUUGACUGUGAAUAAGCAAGAGAUGAGCAGAGCUCCCAGAGGACAGGAGAAGCUAGGACAGGUGAGCAAAGGGACUGUUAGAAUGUGAUGAGUGGGAAUGAAGGGCACUAUGAGGACCCCAAACAGGGGCACCUAACCCAGCCUGGGGGGCCCUAAACUCCCCCAAGAGAGUCUUCAGCUGUACUUGGGGGAAAAAAAAUGCCGUCCAGCUACAUAAAAAAGGGGAGGCAAAUCCCAGCCAAGGCGUGAUCUAGUCCAGGGCUCUGAGGCCCAAAUAGGAGGCUGGGGGAGCUGGAGGUUGUCAGGCACAUCUGGGGCAAAGGGUGGAGGUGGGGAGUAUGAGAAGAGGCCAAGGACACAGAAAGGGGCCUGCGUGCCAAGCUAUAGAGACUGAACUUGACCUUAGCUAGGAGGACCCUCUGCAGGGCUUUAAGCCAAGGAGUAGAUGGAUGAGCCAAUGCAUGAUGGGUUGAGGUUACCAAGGAGGGCCUCCUGAAGGGGGUCAGGCUUGAGGCCAGGGAGGGACAGGACUGGGAAAACUGGGGCUCUGAUCAGCCGCUUCAGUUAGAGCUGCGGAAACCCUUCCCUUCCCCACGCCCUUUGAAACAGUUUGAAUCACAGACUCCCUGUGUUAAAGAUGUUUGUCUGUUAUUUGAAAGCUGUGGUUUCUCUUUAACAGAUUCUGGGCCCCAUCCUUUGACUAGGAACCAGGAAGGAAUGAAGGACACAUUCUCUUGCACAGAGAGCUAAUUACUGAAAUACAGUGGGCCUCACCAGGGUCGAUGGCGUCACUGUCUCUUCCUCCAACAGUUCUUAAAUUCUAACUGGUCAGAGUUUUUCAGUACAUUUUUAUGGGCUGCCCCAAAGCCAGCUGGAAUCUCUUUUUCCAUAAACUCUCCCUGAGACAAGUAGCUGCAUUUCACAUAUUAAAAAUGAAAAUGUCAAAAGGGUUGCUUAAAAGAAAAAAAAAACAAAAAAGCAACAGGCUCCUUUGGGAGGGCUCAGCUCAGGAGGGCUGGGUCAGACUCCAAAGGCAUCUGCCCGUUUUGUUGGGUGGUUUUUGGUUUGUUUUCGCAAAGUUGAUGGUCAGGUUAGAAUGAUGAUCAUAAUAACUUGUUUAUCGAGUCACUCAACAAAUACUUACUGGGCAUUUCUGAGUGCCAGGCCCUAGCUGGGCAUCAAGAUGAGAAGCUGCCUCAGGCCUGGUUGCCCCCUCCCCGCUGCCCUUCAGUGUCCAAAUACUUCAUCAUUGAUAGCAUUUUCACAGGCAAUUUUGUGAGCUAUAUGUGGUGUUAGUACCUGACUUUGCAGAGGAGGAAACUGAAACACUUAGAAAUUACAUAUGUUGCCCACAGUGGCAAUGCCACUAAGGAGAAGAACUUGAUGUUGGGUCAUCCAAGUCCAGAUGCCAAAUUCUGUGCAAGCUCUCUUGCACCUUUUAGCAACACCAGCUGUUACUGGCUUAAGGUGGGCCACAAUUCCAAGAGCUCACUGUCAUCUAUAAUCUGCCUAACAUCUAGCUUUGCCUUAAAACUCAUUUCCCUUUUGAGAGAAUUUCCCACUUUGCAGAACAAAGAUCUAGCUCCCAUAUUCCCCAGCCAUCGUGACUACAAAAGCCUAUUGGAGCCAAACCAUUCCCAGCAUGUCUUCCUGCUUUGGUGGUAAACAGGCAUAUGGGAAAUACCCCCUCAGCUAAUCAGAUACCUAUUUUAGGGGCUCUUGAGUGGUGAGGGGACCCUUGAGUUGGCCCCUGAAUCAGACUGUGCCUGCAAUCUUCUCUUGGCUAGAGCUCCUGCUGGGCUCCUCCCUUUGUCCAAGACUUUCCUGCAGCCUCUGUCUCAUUCUGUAGGGCCUCGUGAUCCUCCAGCAAGUUCUCCCUCUUUUAAGGUGAACUGAAUUGGUCCUGGUCACUUAUAACCAGAAAUCCUAGUGGACAGAGGUCACAGCACUGUAUCCUGUUUGCAGAGCAGGUAGAAAACAGCCACGUCCACUGUGCUGUGGCACUUUUGGAUGUUAUGAAAAUGUUAGUACAGUCGUCGCUUGUCCCAAGGUCCGAGGAACAUCAGAGCAGAGAGGCCCAGUUGCCCAGGUGUCUGCCUGCACCCUGUGCCAUCUCCUGUUCCUGAGUUCCUACUGGGCUCCAGACCUCUUAGCUGCCACCAAGCUUGUUCUCCUUGUGAUUCAACUUCCACCUGGGCCCUGCUCACCCUUUAAGGCUGGUGGAUGUGGAGAAGGAGGCUGGGUAAAGGCCAUGGGUAUGGUCUGCAGAAGGAGGAUCUGUGGGGGCUGCCGCAGAGGGCCUGGCGGCUCAAGAAGUGCUCAGGCAUGAGCUUUAAGGAGCUUCACCUACCCUCUGCUCUCAAGGAUUGUGAAAGGGGUUGUUCCAACCAGUUGCUGGAGAAAUAGAACCAACAGGAAAUAGAGACAUGUAUGUUAUUUAUCUGAGCUGUAUUUAUUUUAAAGAACAAGCUCACAGGAUUUGGGGCUGACAAGGCUGGGGUCUGCAGAGUGGCCAACAGACUGGAAACUCAGGUAAGAAUGAAUGCUCCAGUCUCGAGGCAGAGUUUUCUCUGCAAAGUCUCUGUGUUUACUCCGAAGGCCUUCACCUGAUUGGCUGUGGCCCACCCGCACAGUAUGGAAGGCAAUUUUCUUAAUGUCAGCUGGUGGUAGAAGUGAACCACAUUGUAAGAGACAGUCCCAGCUCCACACGGAUUGGUGUUUCAUUACACAACAGAGUCCUAUAGGCCAGGCAAACUGACACAAAAAAUUAAGUAGCGCAGAGCAGUUGGCUCCAUGAUGCCUCCUGUGAUGGUCAGGAAGACCACUGAGAAUAGUCAAGCUGAUGCUGAGUCAUGAAGAGGACACGACCCACCAACAGUGGGACUGGCCACAAAGGGUGGGUGUGUACAUUUCUCACAGUUCCAGUCUGAGCUCCUCUUUGCUUUUCCUGUGACCUGCACACACUAAGCCCCUUGUAGUCACACCCUCUAUUUUUUUCCACCCUAUCUUCUUGACAUCCCUGUUUUGGUUUGAUGUUCAGUGAAACCCUGUCCCCUGUGCGCACCUAUGUAACUCCCCAGCCACCCUGCUGCAUGCUGGCUGCUCCAGAUUUCCUGUCUUUUUAUCUUCUAACCACCGCUACUCCAGCCACCUGGAACAACGGAAGCCUCACAGGUGGGAUCCAGACCUUAGUGGUCUGAAUAACAUGUAGAAUGAAGCACUGUUAGCCCUGGCUCCUACCCUCAGAUUCCUCCUACCCGGCUCCCUCCACCCAGCUUCUCCCCAGAUGUUUCUCCUCUUUCAUGAGAGAAAGACGGGAUUUGCAUUGUGAUCUGGGGAAAAGCAACUCUAAGACAUGGACCUAAAGGUCCCAGCUGACCCUCUUCGAGCUAUGGCCCUGCUCAGGCCCAAAGACUGAGAGCAGAACAGGCAAGAGAUAGCGGUAAGAACGAAGGUUCUCUUUAAAAACCCACAAGAGUCUGAGGACAGCAUCAAAACCUCUCCAAGCAGAAAGAGGUCCUGAAGAUCACAGAGAAGUUCCCUCACCCAGGCAGGGUCUCCCUCUGAAAUUCAUGAAAAUGUCACAGAACACUCAACCAGAAAUGUUUUUAACCAAAUGUGGACAAUAGAAAACUCAGGAGCACUGCUGGAGACCUGGCAAAUCAAAAUGACAUGUAUCUCUGGAUAGAGGGAGAGACCCUGAUCAAAUUAUGGCUUGUCUGUUGACUUCCCAUUUGACCUUGAACAAGCCUUUCCUGCUUUCUAGUUUUUAGUUUCCCAUCUGAAAAGGAGAAGAGUGACUGCUUGGAAGGUGCUAUCAGGUGACUACCUAACCCUGACCCUGAGUCAUGGGUCUAACGCUUCCUAGCUGCAUGACCUUGGGCACAUCCCUGAAUCUCCUUAAACCUCACUUUCAUCAUCUACGAAGUGAGAGGGUCAUGGCCCUUGUCUUGCUCACCUUGCAGAACUGCUGUGGGGAGGAGAUAAGAAAAGGAAAAUGCCUUGUAUGAGCGCCAAAGAGCUGUUCCUAACAGAGGUAUUAUGAAUUCUGUUUUCCGUAAUGGAAGACAAAAUAGAACAACACAGAAACGGAGGAAGACAGGUUGCUGAAAGACAGAAGACCCACAUUCAAAGUGCUUUGACCUUCACUUCAUCUCCCCUGACAGCCAGGUGUUGAGACACAGCUGAAGAGAGUUCAAAGGCAAAGCAGACAGAUGGAAGUUGGAGAGUGGGGAAGGAGAAGGACCGGAGAGAACAACAACGGACCAGUCACCCAGCUUUGUCAGAGCCCGACAUUCUGCCAAGUUUGCCUCAGAUCUUUUCACUUUUUCUAAAAAAUAAAACAGCAUAGAUAUAAUUAAAUUCCCUGUAUUCUUCUCUCUUUCAGUUUUAUUUUUCCCUCCUAAAUUUGGAAUCUUUCAUUUCCCAUGCACAAUUUUAAUAUUUCGACAUACUACCUCAUAUUAGAACUAAAGAUAUAAGGAAGGGAAAAUAUAUACAUAUAUCUACGCAGCUAAGAUAAUUGUACCAUUAAUUUCUAU